rnacentral:rRNA from 1 species
UACGUAGGGUGCGAGCGUUGCCCGGAUUUAUUGGGCGUAAAGGGCGCGUAGGCGGCUCGGCACGUCCGUUGUGAAAUCGCCCGGCUCAACUGGGCGGGGUCAGCGGAUACGGUCGAGCUUGAGCAAGCUAGGGGGCAAUGGAAUUCCCGGUGUAGUGGUGGAAUGCGUAGAUAUCAGGAGGAACACCGGUGGCGAAGGCGGUUCUCUGGGCAUUACCUGACGCUGAGGAGCGAAAGUGUGGGGAGCGAACAGG